rnacentral:rRNA from 1 species
UACGGGGGGAGCAAGCGUUGUUCGGAUUUACUGGGCGUAAAGGGCGCGUAGGCGGUAGCACAAGUCAGUUGUGAAAUCUCCGGGCUUAACUCGGAAAGGUCAACUGAUACUGUGCGACUAGAGUGCAGAAGGGGCAACUGGAAUUCUCGGUGUAGCGGUGAAAUGCGUAGAUAUCGAGAGGAACACCUGCGGCGAAGGCGGGUUGCUGGGCUGACACUGACGCUGAUGUGCGAAAGCUAGGGGAGCGAACGGG